GACGAACGCUGGCGGCGUGCUUAACACAUGCAAGUCGAACGGAAAGGCCCUGCUUUUGUGGGGUGCUCGAGUGGCGAACGGGUGAGUAACACGUGAGUAACCUGCCCUUGACUUUGGGAUAACUUCAGGAAACUGGGGCUAAUACCGGAUAGGAGCUCCUGCUGCAUGGUGGGGGUUGGAAAGUUUCGGCGGUUGGGGAUGGACUCGCGGCUUAUCAGCUUGUUGGUGGGGUAGUGGCUUACCAAGGGUUUGACGGGUAGCCGGCCUGAGAGGGUGGCCGGCCACAUUGCGACUGAGGUACGGACCAGACUCGUACGGGGGGCAGCAGUGGGGAAUAUUGCACAGUGGGCGGAAGCCUGAUGCAGAAACGCCGCGUGCGGGAUGACGGCCUUCGGGUUGUAAACCGCUUUCGCCUGUGACGAAGCGUGAGUGACGGUAAUGGGUAAAGAAGCACCGGCUAACUACGUG
rnacentral:rRNA from 1 species